rnacentral:rRNA from 1 species
UACGUAGGGGGCUAGCGUUGUCCGGAUUUAUUGGGCGUAAAGCGCGUGUAGGCGGCCAGGUAGGUCUGCUGUGAAAACUCGAGGCUCAACCUCGAGACGUCGGCGGAAACCAUCUGGCUAGAGUCCGGAAGAGGAGAGUGGAAUUCCUGGUGUAGCGGUGAAAUGCGCAGAUAUCAGGAGGAACACCGGUGGUGUAGACGGCUUUCUGGACCGUAACUGACGCUGAGACACGAAAGCGUGGGUAGCAAACAGG